rnacentral:lncRNA from 1 species
AGUUCCAAAUCCUUCCUAUUCUUUGGAAGGUGGUUCAAGUGUUCAUUGUGUUCAUCAUGUGCAUUGCACACCAUUUCAUAUGUCAUCAAUGAGCCGAUAAGUUCUUCAAGUGGAAAAAUAUUUAAAUCUUUUAUUUCUUGUAUUGCCGUUACUUUUGAUUCCCAAGCUUUAGAAAGUGAUUGUAAAACUUUACUAACAAGUUCAAAAUUUGAGAAACAUUUGCCAAGAGCUUGUAAACCAUUAACGAUAUCCGUAAAACGGGUGUACAUGUCAACAAUGGUUUCGCUCGGCUUCAUUCGAAAAAGCUCGAAAUCAUGCAUUAAAAUAUUGAUUUUCGAAUCUUUAAC